rnacentral:rRNA from 1 species
AUUGAACGCUGGCGGCAUGCUUUACACAUGCAAGUCGAACGGCAGCGCGGGCUUCGGCCUGGCGGCGAGUGGCGAACGGGUGAGUAAUGCAUCGGAACGUGCCCAGUAGUGGGGGAUAGCACGGCGAAAGCCGGAUUAAUACCGCAUACGACCUGAGGGUGAAAGCGGGGGACCGAAAGGCCUCGCGCUAUUGGAGCGGCCGAUGUCGGAUAAGCUAGUUGGUGGGGUAAAGGCUUACGAAGGCGACGAUCCGUAGCUGGUCUGAGUGGACGACCAGCCACACUGGGACUGAGACACGGCCCAGACUCCUACGGGAGGCAGCAGUAGGGAAUUUUGGACAAUGGGGGCAACCCUGAUCCAGCCAUGCCGCGUGCGGGAAGAAGGCCUUCGGGUUGUAAACCGCUUUUGUUCGGGAAGAAAUCCUCUGGGCUAAUACCCCGGGGGGAUGACGGUACCGGAAGAAUAAGCACCGGCUAACUACGUG